UAGAGUUUGAUCCUGGCUCAGGAUGAACGCUGGCGGCGUGCUUAACACAUGCAAGUCGAACGGUGAAGGAGAGCUUGCUCUUUGGAUCAGUGGCGAACGGGUGAGUAACACGUGAGCAAUCUGCCCCUGACUCUGGGAUAACAGUUGGAAACAGCUGCUAAUACCGGAUAUGAGACGUGACCGCAUGGUCGACGUUUGGAAAGAAUUUCGGUCAGGGAUGAGCUCGCGGCCUAUCAGCUUGUUGGUGAGGUAAUGGCUCACCAAGGCGUCGACGGGUAGCCGGCCUGAGAGGGUGACCGGCCACACUGGGACUGAGACACGGCCCAGACUCCUACGGGAGGCAGCAGUGGGGAAUAUUGCACAAUGGGCGAAAGCCUGAUGCAGCAACGCCGCGUGAGGGACGACGGCCUUCGGGUUGUAAACCUCUUUUAGCAGGGAAGAAGCGAAAGUGACGGACCUGCAG
rnacentral:rRNA from 1 species